rnacentral:rRNA from 1 species
AACCUGGUUGAUCCUGCCAGUAGUCAUAUGCUUGUCUCAAAGACUAAGGCAUGCAUGUCUAAGUAUAAGUAUUAUACAGCGAAACUGCGAAUGGCUCAUUAAAACAGUAAUAGUUUAUUUGACAAUCUAACUUAUAUGGAUACCCGUAGUAAUUCUAGAGCUAAUACAUGCUGUACUCCCGACUUCUUGGAAGGGAGGUAUUUAUUAGAUAAUAACCAAUAUUCCUUCGGGUCUAUCGUGGUGAAUCAUAAUAACUGAUCGAAUCGCACGGCCCUUGCCGCGAUAAGUCAUUCAAGUUUCUGCCCCAUCAGCUUUAGAUGGUAGUGUAUUGGACUACCAUGGCGUUCACGGGUAACGGAGGAUUAGGGUUCGAUUCCGGAGAGGGAGCCUGAGAAACGGCUACCACAUCCAAGGAAGGCAGCAGCCGCGUAAAUUACCCAAUCCUGACUCAGGGAGGUAGUGACAAGAAAUAACAAGCGGUAGCCUAGCUACUGAAUUGCAAUGAGCCGAAUUUACACCACUUAGUGAGGACCAAUUGGAGGGCAAGUCUGGUGCCAGCAGCCGCGGUAAUUCCAGCUCCAAUAGC